UACGUAGGGGGCAAGCGUUGUCCGGAUUUAUUGGGCGUAAAGAGCUCGUAGGCGGCUCGGUAAGUCGGAUGUGAAACCUCCAGGCUCAACCUGGAGACGCCAUCUGAUACUGCCGUGGCUUGAGUCCGGUAGAGGAGCAGGGAAUUCCUGGUGUAGCGGUGAAAUGCGCAGAUAUCAGGAGGAACACCGGUGGCGAAGGCGGGUCUCUGGGCAAUAACUGACGCUGAGGAGCGAAAGCGUGGGGAGCGAACAGG
rnacentral:rRNA from 1 species